UACGUAGGGACCAAGCGUUGUUCGGAUUUACUGGGCGUAAAGGGCGCGUAGGCGGCGUGUUAAGUCACUUGUGAAAUCUCUGAGCUUAACUCAGAACGGUCAAGUGAUACUGAUGUGCUAGAGUGCAGAAGGGGCAACCGGAAUUCUUGGUGUAGCGGUGAAAUGCGUAGAUAUCGUAAGGAAGACCAGUGGCGAAGGCGGGUCUCUGGACAGUUCCUGACGCUGAGGCACGAAGGCCAGGGGAGCAAACGGG
rnacentral:rRNA from 1 species